rnacentral:misc_RNA from 1 species
UCAACCCUCGAACCUCCGUUUCCUCAGGGAAGCUCAGGGUCGGUGUUGGGGCGCUACGGCGAGUCUUCGCGACCCUCCGUAGGCCCUGAAAUACAGUGGCGGUCCCGCCGCGGUUGCCUUCUGCGUAGUAAGUCUCUUUUGCAAGCUCGCAUUGGGUCCCGGCGGAGGCCUGCCGUCAAACCACCUAUAACUCCAGAUGGUUGACCUCGAUGGU